rnacentral:misc_RNA from 1 species
AAGUCGUAACAAGGUUUCCGUUGGUGAACCAGCGGAAGGAUCAUUACUGAGAUCAUGCCCUCACGGGUAGACCUCCCACCCUGUGUAUUAUACCUUUGUUGCUUUGGCAGGCCCGCCCCUCGGGGCACUCGGCUCCGGCUGAGCAGCGCCUGCCAGAGGACCCCAACCCUAAUGUUUACGUGUCGUCUGAGUACUAUAUAAUAAGUUAAAACUUUCAACAACGGAUCUCUUGGUUCUG